GACGAACGCUGGCGGCGUGCUUAACACAUGCAAGUCGAGCGGAAAGGCCACUUCGGUGGUACUCGAGCGGCGAACGGGUGAGUAACACGUGAGUAAUCUGCCCUGGACUUUGGGAUAGCCACCGGAAACGGUGAUUAAUACCGGAUAUGACCUGAUGCCGCAUGGUGUUGGGUGGAAAGUUUUUCGGUUCAGGAUGUGCUCGCGGCCUAUCAGCUUGAUGGUGGGGUAAUGGCCUACCAUGGCUUCGACGGGUAGCCGGCCUGAGAGGGUGACCGGCCACACUGGGACUGAGACACGGCCCAGACUCCUACGGGUGGCAG
rnacentral:rRNA from 1 species